rnacentral:rRNA from 7 species
GCAGAGAGGUCACACCCGUUCCCAUACCGAACACGGAAGUUAAGCUCUCUAGCGCCGAUGGUAGUUGGGACCUUGUCCCUGUGAGAGUAGGACGUCGCCAAGC